rnacentral:miRNA from 1 species
AGAGGCGUCCUGGAGAGGUAGAGCCUGCGCGUCUCCUCUCUCCAAGGCGUCUCUUC